CGGCACGGGUGAGUAACACGUAUCCAACCUGCCGUCUACUCUUGGACAGCCUUCUGAAAGGAAGAUUAAUACAAGAUGGCAUCAUGAGUCCGCAUGUUCACAUGAUUAAAGGUAUUCCGGUAGACGAUGGGGAUGCGUUCCAUUAGAUAGUAGGCGGGGUAACGGCCCACCUAGUCUUCGAUGGAUAGGGGUUCUGGGAGGAAGGUCCCCCACAUUGGAACUGAGACACGGUCCAA
rnacentral:rRNA from 1 species